UCCCAGCACUCCAAGUCGCAGCCACAAUUAUUGGGUCUAAAACAUCCGUAGCUUGCAUUGUAAGUCUUUUGUGAAAUCGGGACUCUUAAGGUUCCGUCGUGCAAAAGAUACUGCUUUGCUCGAGACCGGGAGGCGUAAGAAGUACAGAUAGGGUAGCGGUUAAAUGUGUUGAUCCUUUCUGGACUCACAGUCGCGAAGGCGUCUUACGAGAACGGAUCUGACAGUGAGGGAUGAAGGCUAGGGGC
rnacentral:rRNA from 1 species